AAGUAUUAUUUGUUCGACCACAAACGUCUGGGGUAGCUAGCUAGCUUUAGCUUGUGUGAGGGUUGAAAAUAUGCUUGGUCUAUAAUGGGGGUGUCUGUGUGUGCUGGAAGUAACAUUUUGCAACAUAUGGUGUGACUAGCGGGAAGGCUGUGGUUAACCUUGAGCGGGAACAGUAUGUUGAGCUAUUGACACAUGCAUAGAAAACAAUGAGGUAAUCUGCAACGCCGGACAGCUGGAGCGCCUGGGGGCUGGGACCAGCCUGUGCGCCAACGAUAGGCUGAGUAAGUCUAAACCACACUCAGCCUCUACUCUGACAGGCCAGCUCAGAAGCGGGAACUACCUCUGUCAGAAGUAUUUUAGAAGAACUUUGUCAGGAAACAAGUCAGUUCUCUGUUCUGCCCUGCGUGGUGUUACAGUGAACCCGUAUAUACGAAAAUUGCAUUUACCAUUUAUUGCUUGAAUUUAAUAAAAGUACUUAUAGUAUA